UUAGAUAAGAACACUCGAGGUGCCGUUCUGACGAAGAGCGGAGAAUUGGGAAGCCGGUUGAAAUCCGGCGCUGCCCCCGCAACGGUGUAGGAGAAACGCGCGGCGAGACGCCACUGGACAGAAGUCCGGGAAGGCGCCGCGACGGUCCUGACGGACGCUCCUGAGCCCGGAAACCAGCCUUGGGAAUGAUCGUGAC
rnacentral:ncRNA from 2 species